rnacentral:rRNA from 1 species
UACAGAGGGGGCAAGCGUUGUUCGGAAUUACUGGGCGUAAAGGGCGCGUAGGCGGCCUGUUAAGUCGAACGUGAAAUCCCCGGGCUCAACCCGGGAACUGCGUCCGAUACUGGCAGGCUUGAAUCCGGGAGAGGGAUGCGGAAUUCCAGGUGUAGCGGUGAAAUGCGUAGAUAUCGAGAGGAACACCGGCGGCGAAGGCGGCCAUCUGGACGAGGACUGACGCUGAGAUGCGAAAGCGUGGGGAGCAAACAGG